AAAUUGCCCUUGUAAAACAGUAUUUCCCAUUUUGUCUUAAUUGUGCCGCUACAGUGAACGACACUAUACCGUAUAUAACACUAAAAACAAUUAGGCAAACACUACUCAUAAAUCACGUAACAAUGUGCGAUUUUAAAAGGGUAACUACUAGUAUUUAAUAGCGACAACAGAAGACAGACUUCUAAUUGUUUGGUUUAAAACAAGCAUGCAGGAAUGUGACAAUUAAAAAUAAUGGCUGACUGAUGUUUAAAGAAACAUAUAAAACGUAUAGUAAUAGGCUAGUAAAGUAAGUUAAAAAGCUGUCUUUCCAUGUAGGCAGAGGCCUUUUUGAGUGAA
ensembl:processed_transcript